rnacentral:sRNA from 1 species
CCAACUAGAGAUCACUUGUUGACAAAGAAGAAGAAAAAAAGAGAGAGAGA